UAGGGAAUCUUCCACAAUGGACGAAAGUCUGAUGGAGCAACGCCGCGUGAGUGAAGAAGGGUUUCGGCUCGUAAAACACUGUUGUUAAAGAAGAACAUAUCUGAGAGUAACUGUUCAGGUAUUGACGGUAUUUAACCAGAAAGCCACGGCUAACUACGUGCCAC
rnacentral:rRNA from 1 species